rnacentral:tRNA from 1 species
GGGGUUGUAGCUCAGUGAUAAAGCGCUUGCCUUGCACACAUGGGGCCCUGGGUUCGAUCCUCAGCACCA